rnacentral:lncRNA from 10 species
UUCUCAGUCAAUAAGAGAUUAGAUAGGUGAGAAGGUUUAAACAUAGCCAUGCCUCUUCUCAUCACCUGCUAAUCCAUUCCCACACUAGGCCCUGGGGCAGAGGCCCUAGAAAUGUAUCUGCUGAUGCACACAGAGCCCUCCAAAGGCCUUCUUUCCUUCUCCCGGACUUCCAGGAAAGCCGUGAGCAGCAAAGUCUUCUGGUGUUGUUUCCUGGCAAAUGGAUCCCUGGGAAAUGUGGAAAGAUCAGAAGCUGCUGCAUGGUGUUACGGGGUUGGUGGGAGUGCAAGAAAUGGGUCAGAUAUCAUCCAAUGCCUUCCUGACCAGGCUUCACAGGAGACCUGCUGGUUGGAGGAGAAGUUUGGAAGAUACCAGAUGUGUACUCCACCUGUCAUCUGCCAAACCUGCAGAAUCUGUGGCUACAGAUGUGAAUAAGAUGGUCUCUGCCCUGCAGGGGAAUUAGUAGCAAAGCAAGAAGGAGCUGGAGAGG